AGUGAACGCUGGCGGUAGGCCUAACACAUGCAAGUCGAACGGCAGCACAGUAAGAGCUUGCUCUUACGGGUGGCGAGUGGCGGACGGGUGAGGAAUACAUCGGAAUCUACUUUUUCGUGGGGGAUAACGUAGGGAAACUUACGCUAAUACCGCAUACGCCCUACGGGUGAAAGCAGGGGAUCUUCGCACCUUGCGCGAUUGAAUGAGCCGAUGUCGGAUUAGCUAGUUGGCGGGGUAAAGGCCCACCAAGGCGACGAUCCGUAGCUGGUCUGAGAGGAUGAUCAGCCACACUGGAACGGAGACACGGACCAGACUCCUACGGGAGGCAGCAGUGGGGAAUAUUGGACAAUGGGCGCAAGCCUGAUCCAGCCAUACCGCGUGGGUGAAGAAGGCCUUCGGGUUGUAAAGCCGUUUUGUUGGGAAAGAAAAGCAGCAGGUUAAGACCCCGCGGUUCUGACGGUACCCAAAGAAUAAGCACCGGCUAACUUCGUG
rnacentral:rRNA from 1 species